rnacentral:lncRNA from 1 species
CUGGGGCUUUGGCAGGAGACGUGUGAAAAUCCCCAGUGGAAUAGGGAAAGCCACAUACCAAAGCCGGGCCAGAAUCUCUGGCCCCCCCUAUAAGGCUGUGACCUAGGAGUACAGGCAAAUGGGGAUCCUGUUUGUCACUGCUACCAUCGGCUGGGGGCUUCCAGAUUACCAGGAGUCUACAUCCCCAUUUUUACAAAUGAAGAAACCA